UGAUUAUAUUUUUAAUUUUAUAAAAAAUUUUUUAGUAAUAGUUUGGUCCUAUAAAUUAAAUUUCUAAAAAUUUUUAACUUAUAUAAUAAAAUUAAUUUUCAAAAAAAGACUAGAAUCUUUUUAUGAUAUUAAUAUUUAAGUAGUUUUAAAAACUUAAAAUAAAUGGCAGUAAAAUAUCCAAAUUAAGGAAUUUUGAAAAAUAAUUGAUAAUCCUCAAUUUUAUUUACUUUAAAAAAUUUUUUGUGUGGUUGUUUAAAAAUAUUUUUUAAAAUAAAUUUUAAUUCAGAUUUUACAUUGUAUUUUAAAGGAAUUUUCUAAAUGUAUUUUUAUUUAAUAAAUUAAUUUAAAAAAUAUAAUACUUAAUAGUAAUAAAUAAUUAUAUAAAAAUGUUUU
rnacentral:rRNA from 1 species